rnacentral:rRNA from 1 species
GAUCCUGGCUCAGGAUGAACGCUAGCUACAGGCUUAACACAUGCAAGUCGAGGGGCAGCAUGGUCUUAGCUUGCUAAGGUCCGAUGGCGACCGGCGCACGGGUGAGUAACACGUAUCCAACCUGCCGUCUACUCUUGGACAGCCUUCUGAAAGGAAGAAUUAAUACAAGAUGGCAUCAUGAGUCCGCAUGUUCACAUGAUUAAGGUAUUCCGGUANCGAUGGGAUG